rnacentral:rRNA from 1 species
UACGGGGGGGGCAAGCGUUGUUCGGAAUUACUGGGCGUAAAGGGCGCGUAGGCGGCCUAUUAAGUCGGACGUGAAAUCCCUCGGCUCAACCGGGGAACUGCGUCCGAUACUGGCAGGCUUGAAUCCGGGAGAGGGAUGUGGAAUUCCAGGUGUAGCGGUGAAAUUCGUAGAUAUUAGGAAGAACACCGGUGGCGAAGGCGGCCCACUGGAUCGGUACUGACGCUGAGGUGCGAAAGCGUGGGGAGCAAACAGG